rnacentral:rRNA from 1 species
UACGGGGGGGGCAAGCGUUGUUCGGAAUUACUGGGCGUAAAGGGCUCGUAGGCGGCCAACUAAGUCGGACGUGAAAUCCCUCGGCUUAACCGGGGAACUGCGUCCGAUACUGGAUGGCUUGAGUUUGGGAGAGGGAUGCGGAAUUCCAGGUGUAGCGGUGAAAUGCGUAGAUAUCUGGAGGAACACCGGUGGCGAAGGCGGCAUCC